rnacentral:rRNA from 1 species
GCGAACGCUGGCGGCAGGCUUAACACAUGCAAGUCGAACGCCCGUAGCAAUACGGGAGUGGCAGACGGGUGAGUAACGCGUGGGAACGUACCCUUUGGUUCGGAAUAACUCAGGGAAACUUGAGCUAAUACCGGAUAAGCCCUUUUGGGGAAAAGAUUUAUUCGCCGAAGGAUCGGCCCGCGUCCGAUUAGCUAGUUGGUGUGGUAACGGCGCACCAAGGCGACGAUCGGUAGCUGGUCUGAGAGGAUGAUCAGCCACACUGGGACUGAGACACGGCCCAGACUCCUACGGGGAGGCAGCAGUGGGGAAUAUUGGGACAAUGGGGGCAACCCUGAUCCAGCCAUUCCGCGUGAGUGAAGAAGGCCUCGGUU